ensembl:lncRNA
CGCCAUUUUAUAAUUUGCUGUCCUUUCUUUAAUAGGUCCAUGGUGGAUAAGAGGGCAUGGAUAACAGGAAGUGUCUAACAGGAAGUAGAGAAGAGGAAGUCGUGAACAGGAAGUGUGAGGCGGCGGCUUCUUAACGCAGUAUUUAUUGAUCUCCAGCGUUCCACUGGAGGUUGAGGCAUAAACAGUACAUUUGAACAAAAAUAGAACCAAUAUUUACAAUUAUUGUAUUAAAAAUACAAAAAAAACAACAGAUACAUACUUCAUCAACUGUCUUUUUAAAAGACAUACAUGUGGAAGUAUCACGAGAAAUGAUGCGGGGGACAGUUAAAUGUACAUCGUCUUUGACAUCAGUCAUUAAACACACUUCUACCACUAGGCUGACGAGCUGUGAUCUACGCCUGAUUAGAGCUGGGACAGAUUAGAGCUUGGACUGAUUUGAGUGGGACUGAUUAGAGUGGGACUAUGCAGAGAUUAGAGUGGAAAUCGACUAGAGUGAGAUUAGAGUGGGACUAUGCAGAGAUUAGAGUGAGAUUAGAUUAGAGUGGGACUAGAUUAGAGUGGACUUUCAGAGAUUAGAGCUGGGAACACAUUGGGAUCAGUGAUGGGAUUAAUCUGGAAUUAGCACUGAGAAUUUGAUUGGUUGAUCACUUGGAUUAUCAUAUUAAGGGAUUCUUUUAGGGAUUAGCGGUGGGUCUGUGGAGGGAUUAGCAAUGUUAUUAGCACUAGGAUUAUGAGGGUAUUAGCUUUGAGAUUAGCAUUGGAAGUAUGAAAGGGUUAGCAUUGGAUAGGUUUUGGGUCUAUGAAGGGAUUAGCAUUAGGGUAUUGAUCGGAUAAGAAUUGGGAUUAGCAUUGGGGUAUUGAAAGGAUUAGCAUUGGGAUUAGCAUUCGGGUAUUGACAGGAUUAGCAGUGGGAUUGAGUGAGGAUUAGCAGUGGGAAUAGCAGUGGGAUUAGCAUUUGGGAUUAUCAUAAGGAUAUUGAAGGGAUUAUCAAUGGGAUUAGCAGUGGGACUAGCAUGGGGAUUAGCAGUGGGAUUAGCAUGGGGAUAAUGUAGGGAUGACCGCUCAACCGGCGUCUGCGCUCUCCUUGUUGUGCAAGUUGUUUAUCGAACGGGUGCUAAUAUACACAUGAUCUCACCACGGUUUACAAACGCAUCAUUUUACCCACAAUCCAUCGGCAGCCAUUACAAAAAAUGACAAUAACAAAGUCAGAGAAAUAAUCCAAAACCUUUGAGAGCUUCCUUCAGGAAACUCUUCUUCUUCUUCAUUUACCGGAGCCUCCGACGCUGGUCAAUGUGACCGGCGGCCGAGGGGUCAGCGGGGGUCACCGCAGUGGUCAACAGGGGUCGCCUGGGGUCAUCAGGGGUCACCGCUGGUUCACCUCAGAGGUCAUCGACCCUGAAGACAAGGACCGGGUUGAGGGCCAGGACCCUGAAGACCAGGACCGGGUUGAGGGCCAGGACCCUGAAGUCCAGGACCGGGGCGAGGACCAGGACCUGGUUGAGGACCAGGACCCUGAAGACCAGGACCGGGUUGAGGACCAGGACCCUGAAGACCAGGACCGGGGCGAGGACCAGGACCGGGUUGAGGACCAGGACCCUGAAGACCAGGACCGGGUGAGGACCAGGACCGGGUGCAGAGGCGCAGUAACGCGACUCUGUGCUUUGACCUUCAUCAGUCGAUUAAAAACAUUGAGUUUGGAACAGCGUUGGAUCACGCUGACCUCUGACCUCACGCUGACCUCUGACCUCACGCUGCUGUGCUGAAAGUGCCAUUUGAUCCGUGGUUGUGGUCCAGUGUGUGCGUUUUAAUCUGUGUGCGUGUGCUAUUGUGUAUGUUGAUGUGUGUGUUGUGUGUCUUGAUGUGUGUUGAUGUGUGUUGAUGUGUGCGUGUGUGUAUGUGUUUUUGUAAUAAUACUGGUCUGGUGUUGGGGGGGGGGGUGUCUCUCAGAGUCCAAGAAGAGAGACAAGCCGAGGGGGACGGGACAGGAAGUAAGACAGGAAGUUGGGUUUUGUUCUCGUACUAAAACACAAAGUGCAGAUGAGGCUCAACACGUCAGUUCAAUUUAUUCAGCGUCCGUCGCCAAUGGCAACAGUCGGUUGUGUCCGUUACUAAUGGCAACCAGGGCUCCCACUCUCUAACAGGAAGCCUCCCUCUCUCUAACAGGAAGUCUCCGUCCAAAGUGCCAGAAGUCCGUCGUCUUCACAGUAGAGAUGCUUUAAGGCAGGGGGCGGGGCCGGCGGCAGCUCCACCAAUCAGAGGCCGCAGGCACGUACGUAACUGAUGAUGAGUCUAUUGGUCCUUCUACACGUCAGUCUCUCUGACCCCGCCCCUUUCUACUGGGCGGAGCCUCUCAUCACUGCAGGAAGACCCGCCCCCUUCAGACUGCAGACACCUGUUCAUCGUCUGAGAGAGAGAGAGAGAGAGAGAGACAGAGAAAGACAGAGACAGAGACAGAGACAGAGAGGUAGAGAGAGAGAGAGAGUGAGUUAACAUUAGUCUCUAAGGCCACGUCUCAUACGGAACAUCUAGUUCAUUCCAUGCAGGAGCUCUACGGACAGGAGGAAGACAGAGGAGGUGUGAGGAUCACUGGUCUGGUAACCGUGGGGACAGCCCACCGUACACCUCGGGGAUGUGAUGGGGGUUGUAGUUCGGUGGGGCUACGGGGGAGUUGUAGUUUUC